UACGUAGGGGGCUAGCGUUGUCCGGAAUCAUUGGGCGUAAAGUGCGUGUAGGCGGUCCGGUAAGUCCGCUGUGAAAGUCGGGGGCUCAACCCUCGAAUGCCGGUGGAUACUGUCGGGCUAGAGUGCGGAAGAGGCGAGUGGAAUUCCUGGUGUAGCGGUGAAAUGCGCAGAUAUCAGGAGGAACACCAAUUGCGAAGGCAGCUCGCUGGGACGUUACUGACGCUGAGACGCGAAAGCGUGGGGAGCAAACAGG
rnacentral:rRNA from 1 species